AGCUGAAAUCAUGCUGCCUGGGAACAAUAAGGAGUCACAACCUAUUUCCAUGAUGAAAAGAACAAGGAGGGAAAAGGACCGAGAUUCAAGCAUUGAUCCUGUCACUACUCGUGUGAGAAGAAGCAGCUUGCCUGACCAUCAAUUUCCAGAGACCUUAUAAAAGCCAACUGCCAUGUUGUGAGAUCAUGAAAAAAAUCCCAUGGAGAGGUCCAUGUGAUGAGGAACUUAGAUCUCCUACCAACAGCCACAUGAAUGAGCCAUCUUGGAAGCAGAUUCUCCAGCUACAAACAAGUCUUUAGAUGAUGACAGCCCUGAUCAAUAUCUCAACUGAAAUCUCAUGAAAGACCCUGAGUCAGAACCACCCUGCUAAGCAGUGCCUGUAUUCCUGCCUCACAGAAAC